UAAUACAGAGGGUGCAAGCGUUAAUCGGAGUUACUGGGCGUAAAGGGCGCGUAGGCGGUAAGAUGUGAGUGAUGUGAAAGCCCCGGGCUUAACCUGGGAAGUGCAUCGCUGACUAUCUAACUGGAGUAUAAGAGAGGGUGGCGGAAUUUCCGGUGUAGCGGUGAAAUGCGUAGAGAUCGGAAGGAACGUCAAUGGCGAAGGCAGCCACCUGGCUUAAUACUGACGCUGAGGCGCGAAAGCGUGGGGAGCGAACAGGAUUAGAUACCCUGGUAGUCCACGCUGUAAACGAUGAGGACUAGAUGUUGGGAGGGGAACCUUUCAGUAUCGAAGCUAACGCGAUAAGUCUUCCGCCUGGGAAGUACGGCCGCAAGGUUG
rnacentral:rRNA from 1 species